rnacentral:rRNA from 1 species
UACGUAGGUGGCAAGCGUUGUCCGGAAUUAUUGGGCGUAAAGCGCGCGCAGGCGGUCUUUUAAGUCUGAUGUGAAAGCCCACGGCUCAACCGUGGAGGGUCAUUGGAAACUGGGGGGACUUGAGUGCAGGAGAGAAGAGUGGAAUUCCAGCGUGUAGCGGAUGAAUCGUAGAGAUGUGGAGGAACACCAGUGGCGAAGGCGGCGACCUGGACGGACACCGACGCUGAGACGCGAAAGCGUGGGGAGCAAACAGG